rnacentral:rRNA from 1 species
UAGGGUUCGAUUCCGGAGAGGGAGCCUGAGAAACGGCUACCACUUCUACGGAAGGCAGCAGGCGCGAAAAUUAUCCAAUCCUGAUUCAGGGAGGUAGUGAAAGAAAUAAUGAACUAGGAUUUAUCCUGGGGUCACAAUGGGCUUGAUUUGCAAACUUUAUUUAGCGAGGAACAAUUGGAGGGCAAGUCUGGUGCCAGCAGCCGCGGUAAUUCCAGCUCCAAUAGUGUAUAUUAAUGUUCCUGCAGUUUUUCGAUGCUCGUAGUUGGAUUUCUGGGGGCUGAGAUUGGAAGGUGGCCAAGGUCACCGCCGAACUCUUCCUUCAUCCACCUGUUAACGUUGUCCGGGAUUUGUUUCUCGGCUUCAGGCUCAGGUAUUUUACCCUUUCUAUAUAUUCAUUUAUUUAUCUUCUUUUUGAGUAAAUUAUAGUGUUUCAGGCAGGCGUGCGCCGGAAUGCUUUAGCAUGGAAUAAUCGAAUUGGACCGUGUAUUCUUAUAGAAUUCUUCCUUAUUUGUUGGUUUCAAGGACACGGAAAUGGUUAAUAGGGAUAGUGUUUUCAGGGGAGGCAUUAGUAUUUAAUUUCCAGAGGUGAAAUUCUUUGAAAUAUUAAAGACUAACUUAUGCGAAAGCAUUUAUUUUGCCAAUAAUGUUUUCAUUAAUCAUUGAACGAAAGUUAGGGGAUCAAAGACGAUCAGAUACCGUCCUAGUCUUAACCAUAAACGUUGCCGACUAGGGAUCGGAGGGCGUGCACAUUCCGCCUUCGGCACCUUACGAGAAAUCAAAGUCUUUUGGGUUCUGGGGGUAGUAUGGUCGCAAGGCUGAAACUUAAAGGAAUUGACGGAAGGGCACCACCAGGAGUGGAGCUUGCGGCUCAAUUUGACUCAACACGGGAAAUCUUACCAGGUCCAGACAUAGCGAGGAUUGACAGAUUGAUAGCUCUUUCUUGAUUCUAUGGGUAUUUAUUUUAAUUUUGGUGGUGCAUGGCCGUUCUUAGUUGGUGGAGUGAUUUGUCUGGUUAAUUCCGUUAAACGAACGAGACCUCAGCCUGCUAAAUAGUUACCUGUCUUUCUUUUACGAGACUUGAUAACUUCUUAGAGGGACGUUGUGUGCAACCACAAGGAAGUUGAGGCAAUAACAGGUCUGUGGUGCCCUUAGAUGUCCUGGGCCGCACGCGUGCUACACUGAUACGUACAACAAGGUAUAUGCAUUUAUGCAUCGAUGCUGCUCCGAAAUAGACACAGCUAAAUCUUCUAAAAUACGUAUCGUGCUGCGGAUAGAUCGUUGAAAUUAUGGAUCUUGAAGGUGGAAUUCCUAGUAAGCGCGGGUCAUCAACCCGCGUUGAUUACGUCCCUGCCCUUUGUACACACCGCCCGUCGCUCCUACCAAUUUCGAGUGGCUCGGUGAACCUCUUUGGACUGUCGAGCAAUCGCGAAAUUAGAGUGAACCUGGUCACUUAGAGGAAGGAGAAGUCGUAACAAGGUU